UAGAAAUUAUUAAUAGUAAAAUCUGCUCCAUGUUUAAUAAAUAGCCGCAAUUUGUGCUAAGGUAGCAUAAUCAUUUGUCUUUUAAAUGAAGACUAGAACAAAAGAUUUAACAUUUUCAGUUUAUUUUCCUAAUUUAUCCCAUCAAAUUUAUCCUAAAUGUAAAAAGACAUUUAUUCAAAAGAAAGACGAUAAGACCCUAUUGAACUUAACUGUAGUUAAACUGGGGCAGUAAAUUAAUUAUUAUUUUAAUAAAAUUUACUCCAUAAAUAUCUAAUAAAAUUAAAUAAUUCAGUUACCAUAGGGAUAACAGCGUAAUAAUCUUCUAAAGACCUUAUUUAAAAUAUAGAUUACGACCUCGAUGUUGAAUUAAUAACCUAAUUAAGGCAAAACUUAAAAAAGGAAGUCUGUUCGACUUUUAAAAAAUUACAUGAUUUGAGUUCAGACCGGUGUAAGCCAGGUCGGUUUCUAUCUUCUAAAAAAUUUUUUACAGUACGAAAGGACCUAAAAAUAUAAUA
rnacentral:rRNA from 1 species